rnacentral:lncRNA from 1 species
AGUCUUGACUGAAGAAACAAGAUUACCAGAAAGAGCCAAGCCAGUGAAGCAGGCACAACACCCCCACAAAAUUUACGGAUCAGUAAAAUGGUUGAAAAUUAGUAUACUAUAACCACGUGUCAAAUAGAAGCACUUGGUGUAGAAUUUUUAAAAGGGUAUUUACUAGAGGAUAACAAGAGAGAGGGAGAAAAAAACGGAGUCUGAGACCCAUAUUGACCAAUUUUGGUACUGGAACGAGUUUCAGUCUUUGGUAGCUAAAUUAUCGUUCCUUGGCCUGAGGGACAGAUUCCUAUCUUAUUCUACCAUCCUUGCCAUUGAGAAUAAAGUGGACGUGUCUGAUAUUGUUUAUUAAUGUGGGUGUGGUUUAAGAUUAAAGAUUAUGUGUCUGAUUGCUGCUCUGACAUAUUUAACGAGAAUUUGUUGGGUGUGGUCACUGAGGAACUUCAGGAUUUAUUGAGUGGCUGGCUCAAUGCCAUAUAUGUUAUGAGAGUAGGUUACUCCACCAUGGUGCUAAUACAUCUGAUAUCAUUACCCAGUACAUCUCUUCAGUUCGUAGUCUAAAGCUACUGGACCCAACUGGUGUUGUAUUGGAAAGAGUAUGUGAACCAGUCAAAGCAUAUCUAAGGACUCAAAGUGAUACACUGACAUGAUCAUGGCCAGUCUGAUUGAUGAUAGUAACAACGACCUUUCGGAGGAGCUGGCGAAAGGUGAGACUGUGUUGCUUGAUCUUUCUGAUGAGUAUGAUGAUCCUGAUCAGGACUUUGAGGCAUGGGAACCAGAUCCAGUAGAUGCUGACCCUACUUAUUGGUUCACAUCUUUGGUGAUCAGGAUCUAUUCCUGAAUGAGUAUUAUUACUAUCACUUGACUAUGAUGCUACAAGAGAACUACGGAACCUUGAGUUAUUAAAGCUAAGAUUUGGAGAGAGUAACCUCCAUUAUUGUGAAGUGAUGAUUAAAGACUCACAUUACUAGGUCAUGAUGAGUGGGUGGGUCAUCGAACCUUAUCCCUAUAAAGAAAAACUACUCACACAAGUCACGUAUCUUGUACAGGUGGAUGUGGUUGUGGGUGGAGUCAAACAUGAUGUACAUUGAAUAGGUUGAUAUGAGAGGAGUACCAGCAACACUGGUUAAUAUUGUGUCAAGAUGUUAGCCAUUAGCAGUUGCAUAUUUACGUGAUUAUUUAGAAACAACUAGUUUAAAUU